rnacentral:rRNA from 1 species
AGUGAACGCUGGCGGUAGGCCUAACACAUGCAAGUCGAACGGCAGCACAGUAAGAGCUUGCUCUUACGGGUGGCGAGUGGCGGACGGGUGAGGAAUACAUCGGAAUCUACUUUUUCGUGGGGGAUAACGUAGGGAAACUUACGCUAAUACCGCAUACUACCUACGGGUGAAAGCAGGGGAUCUUCGGACCCUGCGCGAUUGAAUGAGCCGAUGUCGGAUUAGCUAGUUGGCGGGGUAAAGGCCCACCAAGGCGACGAUCCGUAGCUGGUCUGAGAGGAUGAUCAGCCACACUGGAACGGAGACACGGUCCAGACUCCUACGGGAGGCAGCAGUGGGGAAUAUUGGACAAUGGGCGCAAGCCUGAUCCAGCCAUACCGCGUGGGUGAAGAAGGCCUUCGGGUUGUAAAGCCCUUUUGUUGGGAAAGAAAAGCAGCAGGUUAAUACCCCGCUGUUCUGACGGUACCCAAAGAAUAAGCACCGGCUAACUUCGUG